rnacentral:rRNA from 1 species
AAAACUUUCAACAACGGAUCUCUUGGUUCCAGCAUCGAUGAAGAACGCAGCGAAAUGCGAUAACUAAUGUGAAUUGCAGAAUUCAGUGAAUCAUCGAGUCUUUGAACGCACAUUGCGCCCCUCGGUAUUCCGGGGGGCGUGCCUGUUCGAGCGUCAUU